GCCAAGGGAUAGCUCAGUCGGUAGAGCAUGAGACUCUCAAUCUCAAGGUCUUGGGUUCGAGUCCCAUUGUUGGGCA